CACCCACUUCAACGAGGUGCCCGCUGCGCCCGCGACCGCCGCCCCUUCCACCGGUCGGAUUUAAAGCGGACCAAGCUCCACGCUUUAGCAGAACCCGAGGAGCGGCGGGAGCGUCGCCUGGGAGAUGAGGGUAGGGCGAGUCUAGCACUCAGGGACGGAAACGAGAGCCCAACCACCGGCACUUCCGGGGGGCGGGAGGAAACGAAGGCGCGGCACCCGACGCAACGCCCAGCAGCCAAUCAGAAGGCGGGGCGCCCAUUCAAAUUGCGGCCUUCUGGGGAGCCGGCGCUGGAGGUGGCAUUCCUGUAUUCAACAUACAUGGGCUGGGCGCAGUGGCACACACCUGUAAUCCCAGCACUUUGGGAGGCCGAGUUUAGCAGAUAUUUUCAGAAACGGAUACAUAAGAAAUGGCUGGAAAUCAAAUGAAUGUCCAAAGAAGAGCUUAGGGUCUUAUUCAUUUUUAAAAUAACUGUCAUUAUUCU
rnacentral:lncRNA from 1 species